UACAGAGGUCUCAAGCGUUGUUCGGAUUCAUUGGGCGUAAAGGGUGCGUAGGCGGCGCGAUAAGUCGGGUGUGAAAUCUCGGGGCUUAACUCCGAAACUGCAUUCGAUACUGCCGUGCUUGAGGACUGGAGAGGAGACUGGAAUUUACGGUGUAGCGGUGAAAUGCGUAGAUAUCGUAAGGAAGACCAGUGGCGAAGGCGGGUCUCUGGACAGUUCCUGACGCUGAGGCACGAAGGUGAGGGGAGCAAACGGG
rnacentral:rRNA from 1 species